UGCCUUACCAAAAUAUUGGUCACGCCCGACCCUUUUGGCCUCCACCUAGAUCACGACCAAUUUUGGCUCACCCCAGCGCCUGCAUCCAUUUUCGCCAAAUCGCAGGCGAAACGGCGGCGCGGAAAUCGGCCGCCAAAAAAUUGGCAGCGCGCGAACUGGGCCGAGUAUAAAAGGUAGGCAGCGGAAUUUCCUCAUCGGUUCCUUCAAUUUCCUCUUCUCAUCCCAGGCAAACACACAUGAGCGAGUGGAGGGCAAGAUCUGCAGCUAUCGCCAAGGCCGCCAUAUUCUUGCGACACUGCGAGCUUCUCCGGCCGCCGCCUGCGUUGCUCUCUCUCUCGUUCUCAUCUCUCAAUCCACCCAUGGUCAUGGGGAAUCAUAAGCUCACUCUGAAGACCGAGGAGGACUCCAAUCCUCGUGAUAAGUACAUAACUUGGACUGACGAGGUGACAAGGUUUAUGCUUGAGUGGUAUAUCGACCUUCGUAAGGACAAACCUGCAACUUUCAAGUUCAAGAAACAACACCACUUGCAAUGUGUUGAUGCUCUAAAUGCCAAGUUUUUGCUUGGUGUCACUCAAACCCAAGUGGAUCGACACUAUCGUCAAUGCAAGGAGAAGUGGGGUUGGGUGCGUCGUGCCCUUGACAGAACCACUUUCACAUUCACACUUUCCGGGUCAUAAAAGCAAAGACUCAAUAAAACUGCUGUCAAUUAUCUUACUAGACCCAUUAGGUUCUUUCAUCAAUUGGAAGAGUUAUUCUUGGAUCAAUCUCAUGCUGAUGGCUCACUCGCAGUUGACCAAACCACUGUCAAUGUGGAUGAUGGUAGUGAUGACAGCGAGGAUGUGAGGGAACUUGAGGGAAAUCUAAUUCCAGCAGACAGUGAUGAAGCUGACUCUGACACUAUUGAUCGUCGAAGUCCUAAAGUCGACUUGGAUGGAAAUCCAUUAAACAAGAAGCGCAAGUGUGCAUCAUCAUCACCUUCCAAGAAGCCAACCAAGGGCAAAGCAAACAAGAAGGGCAAGGUAUCUAAUGAUGAUAUGGUAACCAGUAUCAAGAAGCUAGCUGAAUCCCUUGCAUCCCCUAUUGUGUCUGUGCAACCAAUGCCACCUGCAGAUCCUUAUGCAAAUCUUUGGAAGCGGAUCAAUGCCCUUACCAUCCCAGCUAAGGAUAAACUUGAGAUUGUUGCCUAUCUAUCCAAGCCAGACCAAGAUAUCUUUCGUAGCUAUCUUAACUAUGCCGAUGAAACAAUUCUUCGAGAGUGGGUCAUUAGCUACUUUGAGCCUCAGUUUCAUGAAGGUGGCAAUGAUGGAUCUGCGGCUGCUCACUGAAUUGCCACAUGGUUAGAUAGAGUUUGUGGCAACCUUUUGUUUAUAUGGCUAGGAACGCUUUAACACGUAGUGGGAGCAUGGAUAACAUCAUCAUGCAUAUUUUGUCUAUAUACAGCAAACUUGGGUGCAUCAUGUACUGUUUGUAUGGAGUGCAUUUGGUGCAUGGCUGGCUGUUUAUGUCCUAGAUGGUAUGGUAAAGGAUGUGAA